rnacentral:rRNA from 1 species
UACGUAGGGGGCAAGCGUUGUCCGGAUUUAUUGGGCGUAAAGAGCUCGUAGGCGGUUCCGUAAGUCGUGAAUGCAAAUCUCUGGGCUCAACCCAGAAUCGCUUCCGAUACUGCGGUGACUGGAGUCCGGUAGGGGAGUGUGGAAUUCCUGGUGUAGCGGUGAAAUGCGCAGAUAUCAGGAGGAACACCGGUGGCGAAGGCGGCAUCCUGGACCAACACUGACGCUGAUGAGCGAAAGCCAGGGGAGCAAACGGG